AGUCAAGUAAUUAAGUGCAUGUGGUGGAUGCCUUGGCAGUCAGAGGCGAUGAAAGACGUGAUAGCCUGCGAAAAGCUCCGGGGAGGCGGCAAAUAUCCUUUGAUCCGGAGAUGUCUGAAUGGGGGAACCCACCUACUUUAAGGUAGGUAUUGCAACAUGAAUACAUAGUGUUGCAAGGCGAACGAGGGGAAGUGAAACAUCUCAGUACCCUUAGGAAAAGAAAUCAAUUGAGAUUCCCUCAGUAGCGGCGAGCGAACGGGGAUCAGCCCAUUAAGUUAUGUGUGUUUUAGUGGAACGCUCUGGGAAGUGCGAACGUAGAGGGUGAUAUUCCCGUACACGAAAGGGCACACAUAAUGAUGACGAGUAGGGCGAGGCACGUGAAACCUUGUCUGAAUAUGGGGGGACCAUCCUCCAAGGCUAAAUACUCCUGACUGACCGAUAGUGAACCAGUACCGUGAGGGAAAGGCGAAAAGAACCCCUGUGAGGGGAGUGAAAUAGAUCCUGAAACCGCAUGCAUACAAGCAGUGGGAGCACCUUCGUGGUGUGACUGCGUACCUUUUGUAUAAUGGGUCAGCGACUUAUAUUCAGUAGCGAGGUUAACCGUAUAGGGGAGCCGUAGUAGAGAAAUCGAGUCUUAAUAGGGCGUUUAGUUGCUGGGUAUAGACCCGAAACCAGGCGAUCUAUCCAUGAGCAGGUUGAAGGUUGGGUAACACUAACUGGAGGACCGAACCCACUGUCGUUGAAAAGCCAGGGGAUGACUUGUGGAUAGGGGUGAAAGGCUAAUCAAGCCUGGUGAUAGCUGGUUCUCCCCGAAAGCUAUUUAGGUAGCGCCUCGGACGAAUACCAUAGGGGGUAGAGCACUGUUUCGGCUAGGGGGUCAUCCCGACUUACCAAACCGAUGCAAACUCCGAAUACCUAUGAGUACUAUCCGGGAGACAGACUGCGGGUGCUAACGUCCGUAGUCAAGAGGAAAACAAUCCAGACCGCCAGCUAAGGCCCCAAAAUCAUAGUUAAGUGGGAAACGAUGUGGGAAGGCAUAGACAGCUAGGAGGUUGGCUUAGAAGCAGCCACCCUUUAAAGAAAGCGUAAUAGCUCACUAGUCGAGUCGGCCUGCGCGGAAGAUGUAACGGGGCUAAAACUAUGUGCCGAAGCUGCGGAUGUAUACUUUGUAUACGUGGUAGGGGAGCGUUCUGUAAGCCGAUGAAGGUGUGUUGAGAAGCAUGCUGGAGGUAUCAGAAGUGCGAAUGCUGACGUGAGUAACGACAAAACGGGUGAAAAACCCGUUCGCCGAAAGACCAAGGGUUCCAGUCCAACGUUAAUCGGGGCUGGGUGAGUCGACCCCUAAGGCGAGGCCGAAAGGCGUAGUCGAUGGGAAAAUGGUUAAUAUUCCAUUACUUCUGUGUAAUGCGAUGAGAGGACGGAGAAGGCUAAAUCAGCCUGGCGUUGGUUGUCCAGGUGAAAGGAUGUAGGCAUGUAUCUUAGGCAAAUCCGGGGUACUCUAUGCUGAGAUCUGAUAGCAAGCUGUACUUGUACAGCGAAGUGGUUGAUGCCAUGCUUCCAGGAAAAGUCUCUAAGCUUCAGUUACACAGGAAUCGUACCCGAAACCGACACAGGUGGUCAGGUCGAGUAGACCAAGGCGCUUGAGAGAACUCUGCUGAAGGAACUAGGCAAAAUGGUACCGUAACUUCGGGAGAAGGUACGCUGUUGUUGGUGAUGGAACUCGCUUCCUGAGCUGACGACAGCCGCAGAAACCAGGCCGCUGCAACUGUUUAUUAAAAACAUAGCACUCUGCAAACACGAAAGUGGACGUAUAGGGUGUGAUGCCUGCCCGGUGCUGGAAGGUUAAUUGAUGGGGUUAGCGUAAGCGAAGCUCUUGAUCGAAGCCCCAGUAAACGGCGGCCGUAACUAUAACGGUCCUAAGGUAGCGAAAUUCCUUGUCGGGUAAGUUCCGACCUGCACGAAUGGCAUAAUGAUGGCGGCGCUGUCUCCAGCAGAGGCUCAGUGAAAUCGAAAUCGCUGUGAAGAUGCAGUGUACCCGCGGCUAGACGGAAAGACCCCGUGAACCUUUACUGCAGCUUGACACUGAACUUUGACCUUACUUGUGUAGGAUAGGUGGGAGGCUUUGAAGCUGGAACGCUAGUUCCAGUGGAGCCGUCCUUGAAAUACCACCCUGGUAAUGUUGAGGUUCUAACUCUGUCCCGUGAUCCGGGACGAGGACCGUGUCUGGUGGGUAGUUUGACUGGGGCGGUCUCCUCCUAAAGAGUAACGGAGGAGUACGAAGGUGCGCUCAGCGUGGUCGGAAAUCACGCGUAGAGUAUAAAGGCAAAAGCGCGCUUAACUGCGAGACCCACAAGUCGAGCAGGUACGAAAGUAGGUCUUAGUGAUCCGGUGGUUCUGUAUGGAAGGGCCAUCGCUCAACGGAUAAAAGGUACUCUGGGGAUAACAGGCUGAUACCGCCCAAGAGUUCAUAUCGACGGCGGUGUUUGGCACCUCGAUGUCGGCUCAUCUCAUCCUGGGGCUGAAGCAGGUCCCAAGGGUAUGGCUGUUCGCCAUUUAAAGAGGUACGCGAGCUGGGUUUAGAACGUCGUGAGACAGUUCGGUCCCUAUCUACCGUGGGCGCUGGAAAUUUGAGAGGAUCUGCUCCUAGUACGAGAGGACCAGAGUGGACGAACCUCUGGUGUACCGGUUGUGACGCCAGUCGCAUCGCCGGGUAGCUAUGUUCGGAAGGGAUAACCGCUGAAAGCAUCUAAGCGGGAAGCCUACCUCAAGAUAAGAUUUCCCUAGGACUUUAUGUCCUCUAAAGAGCCGUUCGAGACUAGGACGUUGAUAGGUUGGAUGUGGAAGCAUAGUGAUAUGUGAAGCUGACCAAUACUAAUUGCUCGUGAGGCUUGACUAU
rnacentral:rRNA from 1 species